GUGGGGAAUUUUGGACAAUGGGCGAAAGCCUGAUCCAGCAAUGCCGCGUGUGUGAAGAAGGCCUUCGGGUUGUAAAGCACUUUUGUCCGGAAAGAAAUCUGUCUGGCUAAUACCUAGAUGGGAUGACGGUACCGGAAGAAUAAGCACCGGCUAACUACGUGCCAGCAGCCGCGGUAAUACGUAGGGUGCGAGCGUUAAUCGGAAUUACUGGGCGUAAAGCGUGCGCAGGCGGUUUUGUAAGACCGAUGUGAAAUCCCCGGGCUUAACCUGGGAACUGCAUUGGUGACUGCAAGGCUAGAGUGCGUCAGAGGGGGGUGGAAUUCCGCGUGUAGCAGUGAAAUGCGUAGAGAUGCGGAGGAACACCGAUGGCGAAGGCAGCCCCCUGGGAUGACACUGACGCUCAUGCACGAAAGCGUGGGGAGCAAACAGGAUUAGAAACCCUAGUAGUCC
rnacentral:rRNA from 1 species